UCCCCCGCACGGCGCGGCCCCAGCGCCGCGGACAGCCCCGGGCGGCGCAGGAAGCCCCGCCGGCCCUGCACCGCUCCCGCCCCGCGGCUCCGGCGAUGAUAAAGUGCAGACAUCAUAAUUGAUCCACCUUGUGACCCUGCAGCUGCAAGAUCAAGGAAGGCAGAAACCUGGAAACCCAACUGCAUAAUUUCACAUGGCACAGCAUCACAUUAGAAGGCAACAACAGCAGAAUGAAGCCAAUACUGAUUCUGUGUCAAGUCAACCAUGGGACAAGGUUCACACAUUCAAAAUUAUUACUUCAUUACCCAUAGGCAACUGAAUACUGCAGUACUGGCAUUCACAGACUGAUACUUAUGCUCUAAUUGGUUGCUCAGCUUUAAUUAUAGGCAGACAUGGCAGAAACAUGCAUGAAAAUGAAGUCUUUGUUGCAGAGGUGCUUGGAGAGCCAGUGUUCAGCAGUAAUCACCAGCAAGUGGCAGCCACCACCAGAAAGAUCCCAGCUUUCCAAAGACACUGAAGCCAAGAAGCCAGUGGGAUACCUGGCAAUGAGAAAAUGAGCACAGAGGAGCACAAGUUUCUCCUCCACACAACUCAUUCCUAGUGAACAGUCAAGCAUCACCAUGGGAGGAAGGUGUUGGAGAGGGAGAUGAGGUAGCUGAAACCUGAAGCUCCAGAGCCAAACCUCUACCUUGGUGUCACCACUUCGCAUGUGCUGCCAUGUACUGCCUUGCACAGCAGCCUCCUCACUCCGUAUGCAUGGCUUUUACCAUCUCCCUCUUCAGACUAAAGAGCCACCAUAGCAUUUGGUGUUUGUUACAUAUCCUGACAAACCGAAUCCUGGCAAAAUUGAGCACAAGUCCUCUGGAAAAGUAGAACUUUACCCAGUGAGAAAAUUUUCUGGCCACCUCUGUGGCAUUCUGCAGACUCCAGGAGGGAUAAGGAGAACCACAGCAUCACAGAGCAGUUUGUCACAGCAGUGUGAGUUCAGGUAAUGCCUAAAGGAACUCUAUGAAGAAUAUAAUCUGUGAAUGUACUUUGUAGAGGUAUACUGCAAGAGAUAUGUGCACCACAUACAGUAAACAAUGUAAUGGGAUUUCUUGGACAGGUGUACAGCACUUACAUAAAAACCAGCUCCUUCCACCAUGGGGUGGAGGUUUCAGAUAAACAUCCUGUCUCACCUCAGGCAUGUGACUUACUGUCAAUCUUGAGCAGGGAUUGUUAUCCCCAAUGCUGUGUUUCUAAAACAAUUUUUCAAGAGCACAUAGUCAUCACACUGCCAAGACCCACAGUUCAUACAAUCCCAGAACCACUAAGGCUGGAAGGGAUCCUGGGAGCCACCCAAGCAGCUUCCUCUAAGGUUACUUCUUGCCUCUUCAAGUUCUAUAGCUUUCAGAUUUUCUUUUCUUUUAAUUAUUAAAAAAAAAAAUCAUUCUAGGCAAGAGGAAAUGCUUUUUUCGCCCUGAUUUGUUGAGAUGGUUUCAAUAAAUCUGACACGUGUCAACAAGUCAGGAGGAAAUUCCAGCAGCAGUUACAUAAAUUGCUGAAAACAGCCAUGUUUAGAGAGAGAAUUCUGAUGCUGAGCCAUGGCUGUGUCAGUACAGGUAUUGGUAGACUUAAAAGAGACAGGACUACAUUAGUAACCCUCAUCUGAAUGACCCCAGGUCAGUUCUAGUUGGAUGAGAUGUACAUUUAAAUAUCUUCACAUCAAAGAAAAGGGAGAAAUUAUUACAUCCACAUCCUCCACUUUAAUUUCUAAACCAAUUCAUCCAUCAAGUUGUCUUGAAUCAAAAUGCUACUUCCAAAAAAAGUCUGCACUAGAUGUAUUAUGGCAGGCAGAGCAAUCCCUUCUUCCUGCUGUUCAGCAACAGAUCAUUCAAGACAGGAGCCUGGGCUGUGUUGAAGGCAGAUAAAAUUACAGUCACUUCCCAAAAUAAAUGUCAAGAGCUAGUUCCUCUUUUCUCCACAUCAUGGAACCAAUCCACAAUUGUUACACUUGUUAGACAGCUCUUUCUCUACCUUCCCAGGCCUAAGAAGGAAACCUUGCCUUCAGGACCCUUUCUUCAUCCUGUCCACACAUUUCCUGGUCCCUCAAACAAGCUGCAUUUGUCUCAAGAAUUUAGCUUUUGCGGGAGGAGGCAGGGGGAUCCACAACAUGGUAUCAUUGGCUUACAUAGAAGUAUAGGACAAAAUUGGUGUAUGACUGCUUCUUUUUUUCCAGACACACAUGCUGAGGAGAAACUCAGGUCUACAUGAGUAAACAGAUUUUACACCACCAACAUAUGAGCACAGUAGAGAUUCCCACCUUCAGCAAAUGGCAGAAAAGCCCCAUGCACUGACCCACAAUGCUAGUUAACAGAGAAGCUCUGAUCCUUCAUUGCAGCACAGCUUGUGUUGCACACAGAAACCUCACAAAACCAUCCCCUCUGCUCACCAGAGCACUGCAGCAGGGCUCCAGCCAUGCCUUUCCCUGGGAAAUGGGCACUCUGAGGCCUCCAGAGGGGUUUGGCAGCACCCAGAGGCUCAGAAGUGCUGAGCACCUCCAGGUUAAAGCACCACAGGGGUGAUUAAAACCUGAACCUCCCCCUGUGGUCUCCUGAGUUAGAAUACCAUGCCCACAGUCAUCCAGCUGGCAAAAAAUAGGUAUGGAUAUGGUUGGCCCAAGAGCAGAACCUGUAAGGGAUGUUCCUGCUUUACAUGGCCCCCACGCCUUUCUCUAGCACCACUUGAUCAGAGGACAGAGCUGGGAGCACCUUCUGGACUCCUGGUCUCAAGGACACAGACCCUUCAGAUGAUGCAAACUCGACUUCAGCAGCAGUUUGUUGCCAGGGGAACUGUCCAUUUCCUAAUGUGUUGCAAAAAAAAUCUCUCUCUCUCUCCACCUAUCCUUUUCAGUGUGUUUAGAGAGCGUCUAGAGAGUGUCAAUCCUGAGGCUAGCAGCCCUCAGGCUUCCUCUCCUGGCUCUCUCCAAAGUGCCAGGAACGAAGCCAUCAGGACAGUCCAGUAAUCAGUGUCCUGAUAUAAUCCUUCCUCUUUGUCAGUCAGUAGGAAAUAAAUUACUCACUGGAGCCUGCUACAAAGAUACCACCCAGGCACAGAUAGCAUCCCUAAAAAGGGAUGUGAAAGACAAAGACUAAUCAAGGAUUCUGCAGCUGUCAGAGGAAGGUAUUUUCCAUGGGAAAGAAAAUAUCUCAUUUUCUUGGGUAUUUCCCAUGUGAUUUUACCUUCAUGCAAAUUGUCAGCAUAGAGACUGAGGCCCAAGAGAUCUCUAGAGGUUAUGCGAAUUUUCAACACCAUUAAGCCUAAGAUUAAAUGAAAUUGGAAGCAAAAUAUGAACUUUCUGAUGUCCAGUAUAUCUAUUCUUACCUAAUAGUUACAUGAGGUGAAGGAGAGGUAUAAGUGGAGAGGAGAAAGGCCACAAAAAAUUUCAUCUUUUGAUACAAUCUAAGUGGCAAAGCUGAAAAUCAAAAGAUGGAAGCAGCAGUCACAGAAGCUCUUCUUGAAAGGUUUAGCUUAGAAAAGGAUUCUUAUUCUCCAAAUAUUUUUGUAAGUACUUGGCUGAAGAAUGAACACACUGCAAUAUUACUUUUAACUUCACCACCUCUUAGAAGAGGAUGAAGCAUCAGCUGAUGCUGGACUUAACCACUCAGUGUCCAGAUCAGUGUUUGGGAAAAUACAAAUUUUUUUAUUGUGAUUUUUGAUGACAAACUUUACCAAUUUCUUUCUUUAGAGAUACCUAUUUGACAUGUGCAUAUGCUCAUAUUAAUCUGGGUUGGUAGUUCAAGAAAUCUAUCAGCAGACUGCUCUGUUCAAAGCAAGUUGCCUAUUGCUGAAUGUUU
ensembl:lncRNA